rnacentral:rRNA from 1 species
UACGAAGGGUGCAAACGUUGCUCGGAAUUAUUGGGCGUAAAGCGCACGUAGGCGGUUUGUUGCGUCGGCUGUGAAAUCCCGAGGCUCAACCUCGGGUCUGCAGUCGAUACGAGCAAACUAGAGUGUUGCAGGGGAGACUGGAAUUCCUGGUGUAGCGGUGAAAUGCGCAGAUAUCAGGAGGAACACCGACGGCGAAGGCAGCACUCUGGGCCGGUACUGACGCUGAGGAGCGAAAGCGUGGGGAGCAAACAGG